ACAUCGGUGGCAAGAUAUUAACUAUCAAUUCCUACGCAAGAGGAAGAGACAUCUAGUGCCCCUGCGUCCCUGAGAGCUGGGAUUGGGGCAGGGACGUUCCGGGCUCAUCCCACGAUGAUCCUGAGGCACACUUGUCCCUGGCCAGUGGUGAGCAGCAGGACAGCCCAGGAGCGCUGUGUGAUCCAGUGACCCCUCUCUGGGGAUGAAGAUCCACCUUUGUCCUUUCUUCAGGGGCGGCUGUGUUUCUGCUCCACCCCCACCCCCCAAAUAAACAGCUUGGCCUCUC